CUUUGUUUCUAACUAAGACGUUGCCAAAUAAAAUUUACCUCUUAGAGAAACUGUUUAGCUUCAGAAUGGAUGUUGGAAAAGACUUGGAAACUAAUUUGAGUAACUUUAACAUUUUGGUUAAAAGCCUUUCCCAUAAUGACAAAAAAUUUGAAGAUGAGGACCUUGCAGUGAUCCUUCUUAAUUCCCUACCUGAUUCCUAUAGGGAUAUCAAGAAUGCAAUAAAAUAUUCAAGAGAUGCUUUAACGCAAUCUAUUGUCAUCAAUGCGUUAAGAUCUCGAGAAUUGGAAAUCAAGAGAGAAUCUAGAAGUUCAAAGGAGGAAAGUAUGUUUGUGAGAGGAAGAACUGAAAAGAAGGAAAGUAACUCAAACAACAAAAGAUUGAAAUCUAAAUCAAAAACUAGAUCUAAAUCAUGAGAUAGAAGCAACAAAAAGUGCUACCGCUGUGGGAAAAUGGGACACUUUAAACGUGAUUGCUUUGAGUGGAAGAAGAAACCAAAAGAUCAUAAUAAUGAAGAUUUGAAUAAUUCUGCGAUUUGUUCUGAGUUAGAGAGUCUUCUUGUAAUGAUUGUGUCUAAUGAAGAAGUUGAUAAGGACUGGAUCUUGGAUUCAGAGUGUUCAUUCCACACGUGUCCUAAUAAAUCAUGGUUUAAUAAUUACAAAGAAAUUGAACCCAGGAAAGUAUAUAUGGGCGAUAAUAACUCUCAAAGUGUUCUUGGUAUUGGUGACAUCGCUAUCAGAAUGUAUGAUGGCAUUGUCAGGAAAUUAAAGAAUGUGAAACAUGUCCCGAAUUUGAAAAGAAAUCUCAUCUCGUUGGGAUCUCUUGAAGAUGAGGGACACUCUUUCAAAUAUGAAAAUAACACCUUGAAAGUUAUGAAGGAUCUUUGGUAAUCUUUAAGGGACCAAGAAGAAAUGGAUUGUACUAUCUUUUGGGAGAGACAGUUAUCCCUCAAGAUGCUAAAUCUUUGACCAGAACACAAAAUAAAUCUGAAUUGUGGCACAACAGAAUGGGACAUAUAGGAAAUAAAGGUUUAAAGUAUCUAAGUAAUCAAAAGUUGCUUGGGAAGGAUACGAUUGAGCCUCUUGAAUUUUGUGAAACAUG
rnacentral:lncRNA from 1 species